rnacentral:tRNA from 1 species
GGUAAAAUGGCCAAGGAUAAGCAUUGAACUGUAAAUUCAAAAUUAUAUCUCUUUUUACCA